rnacentral:lncRNA from 1 species
AGAAGGGCCUCAGGCGCAAGGAAGGCAUGCAAGUCUCUGUUGCCACUCGCCGGCUUUGUUCGGAGGACUGCGUGUGGUUCGCGACUCAAGAUCUUCCGCACUGAAUCCAAGGAGGCGUUCAGGAAAAGUGUGCUGGACAGAUCCUUAGGAGCGCAACAUUUACUGUGUUUGAGAAUGACGGUGAGUUAUUCUCUUCUCUCCUGAGUGAUCAACAGCCAGUCAGCCUGUGAAGUCUGCCUGUGAAGUCAGUCUGUGAAGUCUGCCUGUGAAGUCAGCCUGUGAAGUCUGCCUGUGAAGUCAGCCUGUGAAGUCAGUCUGUGAAGUCAGCCUGUGAAGUCAGCCUGUGAAGUCAGCCUGUGAAGUCAGUCUGUGAAGUCUGCCUGUGAAGUCAGUCUGUGAAGUCUGCCUGUGAAGUCUGCCUGUGAAGUCAGUCUGUGAAGUCAGCCUGUGAAGUCUGCCUGUGAAGUCAGCCUGUGAAGUCUGCCUGUGAAGUCUGCCUGUGAAGUCAGUCUGUGAAGUCAGCCUGUGAAGUCAGCCUGUGAAGUCAGCCUGUGAAGUCAGCCUGUGAAGUCUGCCUGUGAAGUCAGUCUGUGAAGUCAGCCUGUGAAGUCAGCCUGUGAAGUCAGUCUGUGAAGUCAGCCUGUGAAGUCAGCCUGUGAAGUCUGCCUGUGAAGUCAGCCUGUGAAGUCUGCCUGUGAAGUCAGCCUGUGAAGUCUGCCUGUGAAGUCAGUCUGUGAAGUCUGCCUGUGAAGUCUGCCUGUGAAGUCAGUCUGUGAAGUCAGCCUGUGAAGUCUGCCUGUGAAGUCUGCCUGUGAAGUCUGCCUGUGAAGUCUGCCUGUGAAGUCAGUCUGUGAAGUCAGUCUGUGAAGUCAGCCUGUGAAGUCAGCCUGUGAAGUCUGCCUGUGAAGUCAGUCUGUGAAGUCAGCCUGUGAAGUCAGCCUGUGAAGUCAGCCUGUGAAGUCAGUCUGUGAAGUCAGCCUGUGAAGUCAGCCUGUGAAGUCUGCCUGUGAAGUCAGCCUGUGAAGUCAGCUUGUGAAGUCUGCCUGUGAAGUCAGCCUGUGAAGUCUGCCUGUGAAGUCAGUCUGUGAAGUCUGCCUGUGAAGUCAGUCUGUGAAGUCAGUCUGUGAAGUCAGCCUGUGAAGUCUGCCUGUGAAGUCAGCCUGUGAAGUCAGCCUGUGAAGUCAGUCUGUGAAGUCUGCCUGUGAAGUCUGCCUGUGAAGUCAGUCUGUGAAGUCAGUCUGUGAAGUCAGUCUGUGAAGUCUGCCUGUGAAGUCAGUCUGUGAAGUCUGCCUGUGAAGUCAGUCUGUGAAGUCAGCCUGUGAAGUCAGUCUGUGAAGUCAGCCUGUGAAGUCAGUCUGUGAAGUCUGCCUGUGAAGUCAGUCUGUGAAGUCUGCCUGUGAAGUCUGCCUGUGAAGUCAGUCUGUGAAGUCUGCCUGUGAAGUCAGUCUGUGAAGUCUGCCUGUGAAGUCUGCCUGUGAAGUCAGUCUGUGAAGUCAGUCUGUGAAGUCAGCCUGUGAAGUCAGCCUGUGAAGUCUGCCUGUGAAGUCAGUCUGUGAAGUCAGCCUGUGAAGUCUGCCUGUGAAGUCUGCCUGUGAAGUCAGUCUGUGAAGUCUGCCUGUGAAGUCAGUCUGUGAAGUCAGCCUGUGAAGUCAGUCUGUGAAGUCGGCCUGUGAAGUCAGUCUGUGAAGUCAGUCUGUGAAGUCAGUCUGUGAAGUCAGCCUGUGAAGUCUGCCUGUGAAGUCUGCCUGUGAAGUCUGCCUGUGAAGUCAGUCUGUGAAGUCAGUCUGUGAAGUCUGCCUGUGAAGUCUGCCUGUGAAGUCAGUCUGUGAAGUCAGCCUGUGAAGUCUGCCUGUGAAGUCAGUCUGUGAAGUCUGCCUGUGAAGUCAGUCUGUGAAGUCUGCCUGUGAAGUCAGUCUGUGAAGUCAGUCUGUGAAGUCAGUCUGUGAAGUCAGCCUGUGAAGUCUGCCUGUGAAGUCUGCCUGUGAAGUCUGCCUGUGAAGUCUGCCUGUGAAGUCUGCCUGUGAAGUCAGUCUGUGAAGUCUGCCUGUGAAGUCAGUCUGUGAAGUCAGCCUGUGAAGUCAGUCUGUGAAGUCAGCCUGUGAAGUCUGCCUGUGAAGUCAGUCUGUGAAGUCUGCCUGUGAAGUCAGCCUGUGAAGUCAGUCUGUGAAGUCUGCCUGUGAAGUCAGUCUGUGAAGUCAGCCUGUGAAGUCAGUCUGUGAAGUCUGCCUGUGAAGUCAGUCUGUGAAGUCAGUCUGUGAAGUCAGUCUGUGAAGUCUGCCUGUGAAGUCAGUCUGUGAAGUCAGUCUGGAGAGGGGAGAGAGGAAUCUUGCUUAUUAAAGGAAAUGGGAUCAGGA